GCAAGCGAGAGUAUGAAAUUACUCCAUGUAAACUCAUUUUCUUUUAAACACCUACUUCAUGAAGCCGGAGGAAGAAAAAUAAUCCAGAUAUUACAUUCGUGUCAAUCUGCAUCAGCUCCCUUGCGUGAGAAUGACUUUGCGUGUUUACAAAGGUUCGGUUACCCCAUGAGGAAAUUCAAUUUCGUUGUUCAGUGGGAGGUAGACCCUAGAAUAGCUUCGUGAACCUCGCACGCUUCGUAUUCAUCGAUCAUCCGGGCAUUGAAUCAUUCGAAGCUUCCCAACGACCAGAAGUCCCGUCGAAAAUUGUGAAUUUUACGACAUUGUGUGAUGGUCAGAAUCAAUUUUAAUAUUUUUCUAAUUUCGGAAAUUUCAAUAUUUUUUAAUGCACCCUUGCAAGUACAAGGGAGCAUGAGAAUGCACAAAUGAAAUCAUCGAAUUAUAACUUCAAAAUGGGUGGAUAAGAGCUCACGACCCCACUUCUGCCUGAAAAGGUAAAAGCAAUAACUGAAAAUUAGGCCAAUAGGCAGUUGGAACCACCCACCAUAAACCUUCGAGCUCCCUCCCCAGCAUGAAUACAAUACAGGGAGGAUUGGUGAGAAUUGCAAACUCCCCGUUGUUCUCUCACUAUCCUGUGGUAUCU